CCACGGCUGCCGGCUCCCCGGCUCCGCGCGGCCGGAACCCUCGCGCCGCCGCCCCGCCCGGAGCCGCCCGGAACCGCCCGGGCCCGGACCCCGCGCGCCGGCGCGCCCCCCGCGCCCGGGGCAGGGACUAUUUUCUCUGCCCGCGUCCGGUCCCCCGCGGCCGGGAAAGAACAUUCCUGGCUGUCCCCGCCCGGCUGCGCCCGUUGCCGCUCCUCCCCCGCCGCGUGUUUUCCGCCCCAGUAAAGAUCGUGCCACACAAAUAAGCCUCGAAUGCCCUUUGCCGGGCGGGCGGGCGGGCCGUUUUCAGGGCGCGCCGCUGGAGCCGCGAGCGGGCCUGUUUUCCCUCCGAGCGGACGGCGGCGGGGGCGGGGGCGGCGCGGGGCCGCUUCCAACUGCUCCACACGCUCGAAUAGUUGUCAGUAAAACCAAACUGACGUCAGCCGGGAGAAAGAUAGGUCUCUUUUGUUCUCAUCCCCCACCCCGCCCUCGCCAUCAAAGGCGAAAACAUUUGGGGGGGGGGGGAUGGACAAAAAGGAGAGGGAGAAAGCCGGGAGGCAGAGGCGCCGCCGGUCCCCGUCGUCGCUCGGCCCGGCUCGCGGGGCCCGGCCCACGCGGGAUUCGACCCGCCGAGGGGUCGCGGAGAGAAAAGCGUUUUAAUAGGAAUCGGUAGAGGAGCAUAGGUCCUGGACGGAAAUACGUGGUGAUUAAAAACGCCACAGGACGGAAAAAUGUUCACGACUGGUUAAAAAAAAAAAAAAAAAAAAGGAAAAGGAGAAAGCGAGGGAGGGAGGGAGGGAAAGAGAGAGGAGAGAGGAGAGGGAGGAGGCGGAGGAGGGAAAAACCCUUAGCAAUCUAUUUUCUGUGUGUGUUGCUGCCAGAGAGGCAGUCAGCAGACCCACAGUUUGUGUAAUGCUUCAAGCUACAGCGGGCAAAUUUAAAGCUGUAUGCUCGGCACAACAUAAUAAAUACUUAUUGAAAAUGCAUUUCUGUUUCUAAGCGGGGUUCACUCAUGCAUUAUACAAAACACCUAGGGCUGCGGUAGCGAGUCACUAGGGGACGAAUAAGGCGGACUGUGACUCAGGUUCUUAAAACUCAACUCUUGGGCUCUGAACAGCUGAGACUGAGAAAAAAUAUAUGUGUGUGUAUGUGUAUGUGUGUAUAUAUAUAUGGUAAAAAACUAAUGCCUUUGAGAGAUACCACAGAUUAAGAAAAAGUUGCAAUUAAACAAAAAUCUGGUUGCUGUGAGGGUGAGGCUGGUAGCAAGAGCAGUUAACAGGGGUAGAUAGCGUAUUGAUUGGGUUACAGAGUGGAAAAUUAUUGCCUUGUAGGUAGGGAAAGUGAUCAACAAUGUGAUAAAAUGGUUGAGGGUUUUAUGAGUAUCCACCAAUUUCUGUGGGAAAGGGAAAAAGGCUUUUGAAACCUUCCCUGACACAAAUGUAGGAAUAUACACCCUGUUUGCAUGACCUUUUGGAAAGGAAUCAAUAGCAUUUACGUGUUUACCCGUUAAGCAGUGUUCAUUCCUGGGAGGCAGUCUGGAGGGCACGGUGGUGCGGCGUUCCUUCCGCUGGCCUUCAGGGACCCCUCACCGGCUCCGGCACGCUAGGUCUUAACCCGAAUCUUUAUUCUCAACUUCUUUUUUUCUCAACCUCUCUUAACAUAAAAGAAAUCAUGGAAGGUUUUUCAGUGCAAUUUUCCUAGGGUUUUCCCAAUACUGUAUUUAGUUUCAGUGGUUUAGGUACAACAGGGUCUGUCAGAAUGGAUGUUUUCUUGUUCAGCCACAAAUUCUCUUCGAUAUUUUUGGUCUUCAUUAGAUUAGAAAAUCCUUGAAGGCAGGUCAUGUAGCUCCUUUCUCUUUCAUGUUUCCUGAGAAUAAAAUUUUGCAUGUGGAAAGAUUGAAUGCUUUGGGUUUGAUUGAAUGCUUUGGGUUUAUAUUGGCAGAUGGUACGUGGAUUGGAUUUUGGAGAGGAAAUGCAUUGCUGGGUAACCUUGGACAAGGGAUUAUGCUUCUCUGAGCUUCAGAUGCCUCAUUUGUGAAAUGUGGAUUCCUGUGUCUACCCAUUAGGAUUCCUUUUUGUGAAUGAGAUAAUGAAACGCGUUUUGGUCCGCGACCCCAGCUGCGGGACCACGAUCACAAACCUCACGGAAUGUUGAUGUCUCCGCAGCCUUCCGAGAACUUUCGAAGUGCCCGCGGAGAGUGUCGUCGUCACAAUCGACGUUCAUUUUCCAACCUGAAGGCCAUCCAGUUUACACCUUCAUGAAAAUCAUCUAAUGUGGUCGGUGUCAGAUGUUUCAAACAAUUGUUGACCAGGUCUGAUGAAAGAGGACAGCCUUGGAAGCAUGUUGCCACUGGAGUAGGAAAGUUCAUUCAAUUAUUUAUUUGGGUCACAUGUUAUACUUGACUGGAUGCACUUUUUAAUGAUGUUAAUUAACUUCUUCAGGGUGUUAAAUUAGUUUAGAACUGCUAUGAUUAUAGCAUGACAUAAAUUGGACUCUCUAUUCUAAGAAAUGCAUUUGAGUUUUGCACACCAAAAGAAUAUUUUGUACUGAAUCAGUGCAAGUGAAACUGCACUGCUUACAUCGGGUUUACUUGAUAGAAGCCCAUGCAGACUUCAGAUCGAUUUCACACCUAAGUCACAGAGUCAGGAAACAAGCGCAGGGGCCUGAGAGCCUGUCCAUCAUUUUAUACAAUUAUCAAAUUCUUUAUCUAGUACCGAAAGAGCAUCAAAUUGCACCUCUAAUCCGAUAAAAAGUGUUUAUAUAAUGAAGGCAAUUACAAAAUGCCCUGCAAAAUCCAUUCUUAAGGUUCCACUUUCAAACGCUUCCCGUACAUGAAGCAAAGUUUGGAUUAAUUUAGAUUUAUGUUCUUCUGUAAUUUUAAUAAUGUUUCUGAUUCAUGUCUCUUGCUUAGGAUUUUUCAGGGCAUUUUCCAAAAAUAGAUGCGUGCUUUCCUUUUGGUACAAGAAGUGAUGGGUCUUUCAUGGCUGCAUUACUCAUGCCCAAGUUCUGGAGCCUCUGUGGGCCCAGAGGUAUCACAUGGCUGGUUCUCUCUCGCGUGUGAUAAGAACUGGGUCUGCAAAGCCUCUCUUGGGGCCAGAAUUGUAGCGUAAUGGGUAAAGCCUCUGCCUGUGAUGCCAGCAUCAUCAUGUCCUGACUGCUCCACUUCCAAUCCAGCUCCCUGCUUAUGUGCCUGGGAGAGCAGUGGAAGAUGGCCCCUGCAACCCAUGUGGAAAACCCAGUUGAAGCUCCUGGCUCCUGGCUUUGGCCUGGCCCAGUUCUGGCCAUCGUGGCCAUUGGGGUAAUGACCCAGCCGACGCAGAUCUCUCUCUCUCUCCCCCCACCUCUCUCUGUAACUCUGCCUUUCAAAUAUAUAUAUAUAUUUAAAUCAAAAGCCUCUGUUAGCACCUCAAACCAGUUAGAAUCUGAAAAAAUGCUAAUUAAGAAUGAUAUGCAGAAGGGAAAAUUGUAAUCAUAUUACCUUUAAGAAUUUAUUGCUUGGAUAUACUAAAGUACUUCAAAAGGUUCAUAGAAAGUAGAAUUAAAAAAUAAGGUCUUGGCCGGCGCCGCGGCUCACUAGGCUAAUCCUCCGCCUUGCGGCGCUGGCACACCGGGUCAGGGCGCCGGAUUCUGUCCUGGUUGCCUCCUUCCAGGCCAGCUCUCUGCUGUGGCCCGGGAGUGCAGUGGAGGAUGGCCCAAGUGCUUGGGCCCUGCACCCCAUGGGAGACCAGGAGAAGCACCUGGCUCCUGCCAUCGGAUCAGCGCGGUGCGCCGGCCGCAGAGCACUGGCUGUGGCGGCCAUUGGAGGGUGAACCAACGGCAAAGGAAGACCUUUCUGUCUGUCUCUCUCUCUAACUGUCCACUCUGCCUGUCAAAAAAAUUUAAAAAAAAAGUCUUUUUUUAGACAAAAAAUUGAAAUCCAUGUUUUUUUCCAUAAUAUACACUUUUCAUGAGCUUUUUGAAGACCCAUUAUGCAUGAAUUUCAAAAAAUUUUGCGCCAAAAUAAACAUCCCUUUAAUUCUGUUAUCUAUGAGUGUUUUGAAGCAUCUUUGUAUUUUGAUUCAACACAACCAAAUGUAAAUUCAAAAUCAUUUAUAUGAGAGAUGCGCUGUAAAGGGCUGACCUGUGCUUUGUCCUUCCAGAAGGCUUCAUCCUGAGCCUCAGAAUGUGGCUCAUGGCGUGAGGAUCUCUUCAGAAGUCAGGAUUUCAAGAUUAAAGUCCUGCUGGGUUAGCAUGUGUCCUCUCCAAGGAUAAAUCCUAAGGAGGUAGUGUAAGGAGGGUAAGGGUGGGAACGGAGUGGGGAAGGGAAGAGGAGGAGGAAAGAGGAGAGGAAGGCCAGGGGAGGCCAGAGCAGCGUGGAGCGGUGCAGCCCCACGCCGAGCCCACAGGAGUUGCCGGUCCUGCCAGAGCUGGAAGGGAAGCCUGGCGUGGAUGCCUCGGAGUCUCCAGAGGGCAGCGACCCUCUGACACCUCGAUUAUGGAAUUCUGGCCUCCAUAACUGUGAGAGAAUAAGUGUCUGUUGCUUUAAGUCAGCAAGGUUGUGGUCAUUUCUUGUGGUGACCGUAGGACACUAAAGCUCCGGCCAGGCACAGAUGCCCAAUUGGCUGGCCUUCUUAAUUUGGACACUGCUCACUGUCCCCUCCUGGAAGGGCCUGUGUUCCCACGUCUGCGUGCUGAUGAGGUUCUCCCAAGCUUCCAGGGACAUUCCAUGACCAUCUCCUCUGGUGCCUCAGCCUUGCUCUUCCAUCCAUAGCAUGGGUCUCAGUCCAUUUGGGCUGCUGUAACAAAAAGGCUUCAGGCUGAGUCAGUUGUAAGCAGCAGAGAUUUAUUUAUCACAGUUCUGCAGGCUGAGAAGUCCAAGACCCAAAUGGUGGCAGAUCUGGUGUCUGGUGAGCACCUCUCUCUGCCUCCAGCAUGGCACCAUCUGGUCGUGUCUGCCCAGUAAGUAAUGAGCUCUCUCCCUCAGGAGCCUUUGUAAGGGUACGAGUCUCACCAGUGAAGACGGAGCCCUCAUGGCCUCGUUACCCCCACAGAGGCCCCCCUCGUGAUACCAUAGCAGCCUCUUGUAUCAGUCUCCUGCACUAUACUGCUCUUAUCUGCCUUGCAUUAGGCUUCCAGUGUUUCUUUCCUGUGUCAGAAUGUAGAUGCCACCAUGUUUGGCAUCUACACCUUGUUCAGCUUUACGUCUGCUAGAAUGCUCAGCACAGACCUUCAUCUAUAGUCAGGUUUCAAAAUGUGUUGAAUCUAAUUGCGUGGCACCCUUUGCUAUGUGUAAAAUUCUGUUUCACAAUUUGGUAUCAGAUUGUGUAUGCAGUAGAAAAAUGAAGCCAUGGGAGAAGUAAUUUCAACAAAGCCAAAAUCCGAUAAUUCUGAAAGCAAGUGUUAUGAGAGUUGCCUAUAUUUCAAUAUGUUUUUGAAUGAAAAUACGUUGUUCAAUGGAUAACUCCAAGUCCAAAUACUUUCCUGGGGAAUACAACACUGAAUCAGACUUAAAGUUGGGGAUCCUUAAUUCACUACCAAUUGGUAGGUAUUUGAAUUCUAUUUUUAGGGGUAUUUGUUACUCAAAUAUUCCUCUAAAAUAUAUAUAUAUAUAUAUAUUUUUUUUUUUGACAGGCAGAGUGGACAGUGAGAGAGAGACAGAGAGAAAGGUCUUCCUUUGCCAUUGGUUUACCCUCCAAUGGCCGCUGCGGCCGGCGUGCUGCAGCCAGCGCACCGCGCUGAUCCGAAGGUAGGAGCCAGGUGCUUCUCCUGGUCUCCCAAGGGGUGCAGGGCCCAAGUACUUGGGCCAUCCUCCACUGCACUCCCGGGCAACAGCAGAGAGCUGGCCUGGAAGAGGGGCAACCGGGACAGAAUCUGGCGCCCCGACCAGGACUAGAACCCGCUGUGCCGGCACCGCAAGGUGGAGGAUUAGCCUAUUGAGCCACGGUGCCGGCCUUCCUCUAAAAUAUAUUAUACUUUCUUUUUUUAAAAUUUUUUAGACAGGCAGAGUUAGACAGUGAGAGAGAGAGAGACAGAGAGAAAGGUCUUCCUUCUGUUGG